GAUGAACGCUAGCGGCAGGCCUAAUACAUGCAAGUCGAGGGGCAGCACGUUUCGCAGCAAUGCGGGAUGGUGGCGACCGGCAUACGGGUGAGGAUCGCGUACACAAUCUUCCCAGAGCAGGGGGAUAACCCGGGGAAACCCGGACUAAUACCCCGUAGUUUACUUUGAAGGCCUCUUUGAGGUAAUAAAACUCCGGUGGCUUUGGAUGCGUGUGCGUCCCAUUAGGUAGUUGGCAGGGUAACGGCCUACCAAGCCUUCGAUGGGUAACUGGUGUGAGAGCACGACACGUGUCACGGGCACUGAGACACGAGCGCGAAUCCGACAGGCGGCAGCAGUUACGAAGAUUGGUAGAUGGAAGCAAGUCUGCACCAGCCAUGCCGGGUGAAGGAAGAAGGUCCUCUUGAAUGUAAACUUCUUUUAGAGGGGGAGAAAAAAGGGUUUUUUAACUCACUUGACGGUACCUUAUGAAUAAGCACCGGCUAACUACGUG
rnacentral:rRNA from 1 species